UAGGUCUUAGCUUAAUUAAAGCAAUUGAUUUGNAUUCAAUAGAUGUAGGAUAUAGUCUUAUAGUCUUUA
rnacentral:tRNA from 1 species